rnacentral:lncRNA from 1 species
UCCUGUGUGGAUCACCUUUGGAGGGCUUCUACUUUGAAGUUUUGUGGAGAUCACUCUAUUAUCAGAUCAUCCUCUACUGGAAGGUAUAAUCUCUUACCUUAUUGCAUGCUUGAAUGUUUGAUUGUAAUCAUCAAGGAGUUCUUAGGAUUUGUGUUCUGGUAGUCAUGUUUUAAUUGUUAAAACUUAUUUUCAAAUGGUUAUAUGCAUGGUAAAAUUUUUAAAAUCCGCAUUCUUCUGCACCACCAAAAUUCAAUAGUGGUAUCAGAGCCACUCUUGAGUGAUUC